GGGGCCUACUGGUCGGUGCUCUUCCUCGUCAAGUCCUACGCGGAACUGUUCUUGCCGCGCACGCCAGUGACCGUCGUCGAGAAGCUUCGCCACGUAGGAGUCUACGGCUUCGGCGUCGGCGUCCUGGGUCUCAUGGUGUCCGCCGUCCUGGCCACCGUGGUCAAGGACACCCGUGUCUUGGCCGGUUGCAUCUGCGUUGUGGUUGUCUUCAUCGCCGGGCUCAUGGCGUUCUGGGUGUGGCUUGCUCGCACGUAUGGCGCGUUGGAGUCUUCUACACUACCAGCAGCAGGCCAGCAGCCUCCACCAAGCAAGCAAGGGGAACCCCGGCGGGAAGAGGGAAAGAAAGAUCAGGGGAAGAAGCGGGGUAUCUUGGAGACUGGAUUUUCUCCCAUGCACGGGAGGUCCCGUGCAUGGUCCAGGCGUUCGGUGUGGCACAAGGACGAUUAUUCUAGUAAUACUUUUCGUUGGCACUCCUCCGUACAAUACCAUAUAUCCUCUGUCAUAUACACCUAA
rnacentral:rRNA from 1 species